rnacentral:tRNA from 4 species
GCAGGUGUGCUGGAAUAGGCAGACAGGAUAGAUUGAGGGUCUAUUGAGGGAUUCCUCGUGUGGGUUCAAGUCCCACCAUCUGCACCA